UGCAGGUAUGUACACCUUGUUGUUGAAAACCUAAAACUAGAUUCCGCUGCAGUGAAAACGAAAAACAUCUCCUAGUUUUGAAAAAUGUGAUAACAGCUAUUUAAAGAUACAUGGCAAACGUCUAUAUCCACCUACUUCAUCUGGAGCCAUUUACGUUUAUCAAUCUUUAUAUUCAGCAACCAAUCCAACCGUACCACAAGUAUCAUUUUUAUUGUAAAGCUAUAGGCAGGAUUUGCUGGUAUUAAUAAAAUCCCAUUUUAUUUAUUAUAUUGUCAAAUGCUAAAUAAAUAUGAUUAGUUAA
rnacentral:lncRNA from 1 species